rnacentral:lncRNA from 1 species
UUUUUAAAUUAACUGAACAUUUACACAAAAGAGACAGGGGUUUAAAACUAAACAGAUAGUGGAAACAGUUUAACUUUCAACAACAGUGUACAUGUUGAGAGCAAAUAUAGACUAGUAGAGAAAAUUGCCUUUUUGCACAUCUGGGUUGAUAUUAUAAGAUUUAAGCAACUAUAAUAUAAAAUUCUAUACACAUAGGCAGUGAGAAAAAACUUUUAUGGUCUGAAACAAUUUUCAUGCUAUAUGUCAUAAUAGAAGGUCUUCUAGAAUCCAUGUAUGCCCAACAAAAGCCACUGAAGGGAAGCUUACCAGAGUGCCAUCGAGUUCCUUCCCCUAAGGAUCAGACUUCCAGACUCAAGUGUCAUUUGACCUGGUAUCCAGCUUAAUACAGCCUCUGCUUUUGAAUAGAUUUCCUUACAAGUGGCAAUCUCUAAUAGGGUCAUGUCGAGAGGCAACCCGACUGCAUACUACCUACUGCACGUUAACGUGAUGAAGGUCUCUCCUGAGCACACGGCUUCAUAAACCAGCUGCACAAGCAACUGCAUCUGGGGAUCUGCUUCAAGAGAAACUUAACUAAAGCAAGAAUGGGCUCUAACUUCAGGAUACCUAGGAUUCUAACCUCGUUCCAUUACUUACCAACGAUAUGACCUGGGAAAAAUUAUAUACCUGCUGUGUCUCCAAAGUCUUCAGGCAGAGGCAACAACCACCAGGCAAACUUGAAGAGUUCUUGAACUACUUUUGAGGUUCCUCCUCAAUUUCACAGAUAUACCCUCCUCAGACUCCAGCCCCCAGUAUCUAAUGCCUGGAGCCUGAGUAGCAGGAUGGGAUUAAGUGACUUCUUGACUUGUGAACAAGAUAAAUGGAAGGUUCUGUUCAGAGGCUCUCAACUAUUUUGUACUUGCAAAAUAUUAAACAUGUUGUUAGCAUAUGUGAAAUGAUUCAUUUGCACAUGGUUCACCUUCAGGUUGGGCCUCUCAUUUCCUGAAUUGGCUGUCAGCCACCCAGGACAGAGUUUAACAAGAGAAGCCAACCCUCAGGGUGAGGAGGAGCAGGGACUUUGGUGAGAAUGCUGGGUUCAAAUCUGGGCUUCUGUAGUUAUCUGCUAUAUGAUCUCACAGAAGUAACCUAAUCUCUCUGUUCUUCAAUUUCCACAUCAGCAAAAC